GAAAGAGUAGGGGGAGCAGGAGAAAGAGCUAUUGGGACCAAAGGCGAAGGAGGAGCCAGAAUAGACCGGGCCUGGAGCCAGAGAAAGAGCUCCGGGCGGCAGGAAGAGGCAGCGCAAAGGCCGGGAGGGCGGGCGCCCGGGUUGGAAGUGCGCGCUGCUCGGUUUCCCCGGACGCCGCGUGGGGCCCAGAGCUCGCUCUUCUCGGACUUCCCGCCGACGCCGAGGCUGUGUUUGGAGAUCCGUCCCGGUUGCCAUGAGAACCGCGCUCGUCGCUCCCACCCGCUUCGCCUCCCCCUUCGCAGCUCGCGGGGCAGCGGGCGCCUCUGCGUCCCGCCCUCCCUCUCUCCGCCUCCGCCCUCCUCCCGGAGCCCGGCAGACCCUGCUGUCGCUCCGUCCUCUCCACCGGCGACUCCUCCCUCUGCCCAGCACGUGGCACUCUCUGAAAUUAUCCUACUGAUUCGCCAGCUUUUGACGGUCCGCCUUCCCCAUCAGACCCCCUGCUCCACAAGCGGUAACAACGUCCCCGGAGCCCCGCACACGGCGGGCGCUCAGUGUUUGUGGAGAGAAUGAAGACUCACAUCGACUCAAGGAAGCGCGGCUCAGAGAGGGCAAGGGACCCGCCCAGGGCACACAGAAUCCCGGGGAGCAUUGGGAGAUAAAUGGGGGGCGCCUGGAGUGGCGGGAGAAAUAGCUGCAGGGCCCGGGAGUCACAGCUGUCACCAAUACGCUGUGUGACUUGGGUUGAGUCACACCCUCUCUGCCUCGUUGGCUGUAGGCGCUGGAGAGCAGCGGUGGGAGCAGGUAUUACGAUGAGGGUGUCCUUGACGCCCCCACCCCCCGACGGCCCGCGGGGCACGGGGCAGACGUCAGCUCGAGGCCCGAGGCAAGCGUGCCGGCCGCGCCCCCACCCGAGCGCCGCGGGGGCCGGGGAGGCCCGCGGGAGAGGAAGCUGGGGGAGGGGACGGCCGCCUGGACAGGAAGUGGGAAGGGCUGGCUUCCCCCCCGUCCCCGGCCGGGGCCCCUCGGGAUGGAGGCGGGGCUGAGGCCAGCCCGGCCCUUCCCUUCCUCUUCGCCUGUCUGGAACCCCAGCCGCUCCCGACUUCCAGCCGGCCGGAAG
rnacentral:lncRNA from 1 species